rnacentral:rRNA from 1 species
UACAGAGGUCUCAAGCGUUGUUCGGAUUCAUUGGGCGUAAAGGGUGCGUAGGCGGCGCGGUAAGUCGGGUGUGAAAUCUUGGAGCUUAACUCCGAAACUGCAUUCGAUACUGCGUGGCUAGAGUGCUGGAGAGGAGACUGGAAUUUACGGUGUAGCAGUGAAAUGCGUAGAUAUCGUAAGGAAGACCAGUGGCGAAGGCGAGUCUCUGGACAGCAACUGACGCUGAGGCACGAAGGCCAGGGGAGCAAACGGGG